GCUGCAGAGCCCCCCUCCGUCGGCCUGUGCGCCCAGGGGGACCGACGCCUGGGGUCGCCGCACGAGCUGGGCAUUUGAAUCCCGGGAGGGGGACCUGUGCAGCCGUCGGCUCCCGGGAGGCUACGCAGCAGAAGUUGAUUGACAGAUGCAUACCAGAAAGCCCCAUUCUCCUUUUCAAAGACAACAUAUGAUGGAUUGCGAUCUCUCAGCCCAGCAGGAUACGGGGACCAUGCAAGCUGUAAUUGGUCAGCGGCCUGCCAGCGGAGUGCUGCAAGUGCGAGAGGCAAAAGGCACCCAGUAAAUGGAGCCAGGGAACCUCAGCCCUCAAACUUCCACGCGAGGCUUCACAGCAAAAAUCGAAACCACCACCACCACCACCACCACAAAAAUCCAAGGGCGAAUCUCAUUUCUAAUUUGGUCUGGAUGGGGUGGGUUUUGUUUUGUUUUGUUUUGCUGAUUUGAUGUUUCAGAAUUUAUUUUCUGCCGAGAUGGUGAUCUCUGAAGCAAAGUGUGAGGGGGGAAUAAAGUGCCAUGUUUC
rnacentral:lncRNA from 1 species